AGAUUCAAAUCGGCCGCACCGACUCUCUCUUUGUUUCAGAGUCCUUGAGACGGCUGCCGAUGGUCCGGAUUGCAACGGCCAGGAAGUUUCUCAUCCGAGGGAGCAGGAGGGUGAAGAGGGCCAGCCCAGGGAGGGGAGCGCCGAAAGAUCAGAGCACGCCCCGAAGAAAGUGAGAACUGGCCCUGAAGGGAAACUCCUGGUGACCGACAACAGAGACCUGGUUCCAAGACACCAGGAAACAAAAACUAAUGGGGUUGGUGGUGAGAACGCGGCGUUCUCUGGAGAUCUGGAUGGUUCAGCGGAGGAAGUGGACAUUACAGCCAAAGGCAGCACGAAAGAGGAAGAGGGGGAGAAAAACACUGAGUGGGAGCCAGGUUCAUUCAUUCCUGAGGGGCACAGAGAGGAGAAACGAGUCAAAGACAGGAAAAGAAAAAGGGAAGAGGAAAAGGAGAGAGGGAGCAGGGAGCAGAAGGAAACAGAAGUGAGGAAGAAAGAGAUCAAAGAGAAGGGGAAACGUGAACUAAAGGAAAGUAAAGGGGGCGUGAGUAAGAAAGAGGAACCUAAAAAGGAAAGGGAGGGAAAGGACCAGGAGAAGAGAGAUGGUGCAGAGCCCAGCAAAGCCAAGAGGGAGAAGGGAAUCACUGAAGCCAUCUCCAGAA
rnacentral:lncRNA from 1 species